rnacentral:misc_RNA from 1 species
GAUGAAGAACGUAGCGAAAUGCGAUACGUAAUGUGAAUUGCAGAAUUCAGUGAAUCAUCGAGUCUUUGAACGCACAUUGCGCCCUCUGGUAUUCCGGAGGGCAUGCCUGUCCGAGCGUCAUUGCUGCCCUCAAGCACGGCUUGUGUGUUGGGCCCCGCCCCCCGAUCCCGGGGGGCGGGCCCGAAAGGCAGCGGCGGCACCGCGUCCGGUCCUCGAGCGUAUGGGGCUUUGUCACCCGCUCUGUAGGCCCGGCCGGCGCCUGCCGAUCAACCAAAACUUUUUUCCAGGUUGACCUCGGAUCAGGUAGGGAUACCCGCUGAACUUAAGCAUAUCAAUAAGCGGAGGA